CUCUUAUCCAGAGUGGCGGAGGGACUGGCCCGACGAUGCCCGGCAACCGUUAGAUGAAACGUCAUCUAAGAAGGUGCUAAAUCCUGCAAAGCAAUUUUGCUUUGAAAGAUGAGAG
rnacentral:ncRNA from 2 species